CCUACGGGAGGCAGCAGUGAGGAAUAUUGGUCAAUGGCCGUAAGGCUGAACCAGCCAAGUCGCGUGAAGGAAGAAGGAUCUAUGGUUUGUAAACUUCUUUUAUAGGGGAAUAAAGGUAUCCACGUGUGGAUAUUUGCAUGUACCCUAUGAAUAAGCAUCGGCUAACUCCGUGCCAGCAGCCGCGGUAAUACGGAGGAUGCGAGCGUUAUCCGGAUUUAUUGGGUUUAAAGGGUGCGUAGGUUGUUUUUUAAGUCAGCGGUGAAAGUUUGUGGCUCAACCAUAAAAUUGCCGUUGAUACUGGAAGACGUGAGUGUGUUUGAGGUAGGCGGAAUGCGUGGUGUAGCGGUGAAAUGCAUAGAUAUCACGCAGAACUCCGAUUGCGAAGGCAGCUUACUAAGCCAUAACUGACACUGAAGCACGAAAGCGUGGGGAUCAAACAGGAUUAGAUACCCUUGUAGUC
rnacentral:rRNA from 1 species